rnacentral:misc_RNA from 1 species
CAGCAAUCAUGGCUUCUUCACUCCAUCCCCACUUCAUCACGUGGCAAAGGGAAGCAUGAAGCACGCGAGCUUGCUCAUCUUGGUACUUAACUCUCGGUAUCCGCCUCUCGUCGUGGUGGUGGUGGUGACGGCGUCGAGCCUCGUCAGCCGUGAAUGAUGUUGGCCGACUUGAAGACGACGACGUUGGAGAUGAUGACGCGGUUGAAUCUGAUUGGUUAGGUUUGGUACGUGGGAUUUGAUUUUGAUUAUUAGGGUUUUGA